CAGGGUUGGUAUACCUCUCUCCACAUACCCAAUCUUGUCUAAUGUGGAAAGCUAAGCAGGGUUGGUUCUGUUUAGUCCUUGGAUGGGAGACUACCAGGGAAUAACAUGGAUCUUCUGG
rnacentral:rRNA from 1 species